rnacentral:rRNA from 1 species
GCAACUCGCCUACACGAAGCUGGAAUCGCUAGUAAUCGCGGAUCAGCACGCCGCGGUGAAUACGUUCCCGGGCCUUGUACACACCGCCCGUCACACCAUGAGAGUCUGUAACACCCAAAGCCGGUGGGAUAACCUUUAUAGGAGUCAGCCGUCUAAGGUAGGACAGAUGAUUAGGGUGAAGUCGUAACAAGGUAGC